UUAUUUGAGGUCUGGCCUGCCCACUGAGACUGAUCUUGAAGGGCCGCGGUAUUUUGACCGUGCAAAGGUAGCAUAAUCAUUAGUCUUUUAAUUGAAGGCUAGAAUGAAUGGUUGGACGAGGCAUUGACUGUCUCUGUGCAAAUGGAGUUAGAAUUUAACUUUUGAGUGAAAAGGCUCAAAUGAGUUUAAAGGACGAGAAGACCCUAUAGAGCUUUAUAGUUAAUUUUUUUGUAGCUUGUUUAGUUGAGUUUGGGUUAUAGGGAAUAAAUUAUUUUGUUGGGGUGACAGGAAGAUAUAAAGAACUCUUUUUAUUUAUUAAACAUUUAUGUAUGAGUUAUUGAUCCAUUUUUAGUGAUUAAAAGUCUAAGUUACCUUAGGGAUAACAGCGUAAUCUUUUUUGAGAGUUCUUAUCGACGAAAAGGGUUGCGACCUCGAUGUUGGAUUAAGGGUAAUUUUGGGUGUAGAUGUUCAAAGUUAGGUCGUCGCCUANC
rnacentral:rRNA from 1 species